rnacentral:rRNA from 1 species
GAUGAACGCUGGCGGCGUGCCUAAUACAUGCAAGUCGAGCGAACGGACGAGAAGCUUGCUUCUCUGAUGUUAGCGGCGGACGGGUGAGUAACACGUGGAUAACCUACCUAUAAGACUGGGAUAACUUCGGGAAACCGGAGCUAAUACCGGAUAAUAUUUUGAACCGCAUGGUUCAAAAGUGAAAGACGGUCUUGCUGUCACUUAUAGAUGGAUCCGCGCUGCAUUAGCUAGUUGGUAAGGUAACGGCUUACCAAGGCAACGAUGCAUAGACGACCUGAGAGGGCGAUCGGGCACCGUACAGCUUGGACACGGUCCUGACUCCUGCGGGAGGCCGCAGUAGGGAAUCUUCCGCAUAGGGCGCAGACCUGACGGCGCGACGCCGCGUGAGUGAUGCAGGUCUUCCGAUCGUAUGACUCUGUUAUUAGGGAUAAACAUAUGUGUAAGUAACUGUGCACAUCUUCACGUUACCUCAUCAGACCGCCACGGCUACCUACGUG